GGUUUACGGAGAUAGUGGGCAGUCCAUAUUUUAGCAUCUUAAUUCACCUUGUACUGUUUAUUUUUUUUUCCCUUCAGUUCUAAAUCUCUUUUCUUCAUGAUCUCUAGUAGUAAAUAACUAUUGCAUUCUUUCUUUUAGGUUAACAAACCAAAUCUUCCACUUGCAUCGCAAUUUUUAGGCUUUUUAGAAACAACAGCUUGUCUGAUACAUGAUUGCCAUCCCAAAAAAGCGAUAAACUUCUUAAUGUGCUUUAGGAAGGGAUGAAUGGGAGUUUUGAUGGCCCACUCUACAAGCAACCCAGACCAUUGAUUUGAUGGGUUCCAUCAUGGAUACACCAUGAAGUAAGAAUCUUACUUGGGUACAGUCCCAACCUCGGUUCCAUCAUGGAUACACCAUGAAGUAAGGCAUCUAUUGACUGUUACCCAGCUCAUUGCUGUAGGUGGCUCAACAUCUUGAUUGUGUUGCAGGAUUUGAUGUUCCCCUUACUCAUCUGAGCUAGUCCCUUCCCCUUUUUAAUGUUUUAUUUAUUUUUUUUUUUUUUAAUGUUAUUGAUUUGGAUCCCCAUUUCUUGAGUAGUUUUUAAUGAAGGAUCUAAAAUUAAGCUAGGGAAGAAAGAAGAUGAAGAAGCUGAUGAAAUAUAGCAGUACCUAUGGCAGUUAUUGCUUCUUUUAGGAAAAUGAAAAAGCUUGUCCAAGACAUUUCAUUGGUUGAGGCUGCACUUAGGACCUCGUCUCAGCUUGUUGUAAGUUCUGCUGGAAAGAAAGUGAAGCGAUUGCAUGCAUUGCCAGAUAUUGACAUCGAAGAUGCAAAGGUCAAGCAGAUUUGCUAGGCUUCAACGUAUUCAUUGCUCAUCGGGACCAUGACCAGCCUUAUUCAUCGCGCCUGGUGGUGGUCCUUCCAUGGCCACUGCGACGUUUUCUACACAAGGGCAAUGAGAGGAAUUUCAGCCUCAGGCGCACCGGUUCGAUCCGCUAGCUCUCGAGAUUCAGGUCCAAGCAUAGUUGUCCAAGCGUCCACAUUUCAUCAUUUGAUAACAUCUCCAGUGAAAGAGAAGGCCCGAGCAAGGAUGAUAACAUUCGCAGUGUAAAAAAAAAAAAAAAACUAACUAGGAUACAUGCGUGUCACCUUUUCUUUUCUUCUCUCUCUCUUUUUUUUUUCUUUUUC